rnacentral:rRNA from 1 species
UACGGAGGGUGCAAGCGUUAUCCGGAUUCACUGGGUUUAAAGGGUGCGUAGGAGGACUGGUAAGUCAGUGGUGAAAUCCCCGAGCUUAACUUGGGAACUGCCGUUGAUACUAUCAGUCUUGAAUACCGUGGAGGUGAGCGGAAUAUGUCAUGUAGCGGUGAAAUGCUUAGAUAUGACAUAGAACACCAAUUGCGAAGGCAGCUCGCUACACGAAUAUUGACUCUGAGGCACGAAAGCGUGGGGAGCAAACAGG